rnacentral:rRNA from 1 species
GACGAACGCUGGCGGCGUGCUUAACACAUGCAAGUCGAACGGUGAUGCUCCAGCUUGCUGGAGUGGAUCAGUGGCGAACGGGUGAGUAACACGUGAGCAACCUGCCCCAGACUCUGGAAUAAGCGCUGGAAACGGCGUCUAAUACUGGAUACGAAACUGGCCCGCAUGGGCAUGGUUUGGAAAGUUUUUCGGUUUGGGAUGGGCUCGCGGCCUAUCAGCUUGUUGGUGAGGUAAUGGCUCACCAAGGCGACGACGGGUAGCCGGCCUGAGAGGGCGACCGGCCACACUGGGACUGAGACACGGCCCAGACUCCUACGGGAGGCAGCAGUGGUGAAUAUUGCACAAUGGGCGAAAGCCUGAUGCAGCGACGCCGCGUGAGGGAUGACGGCCUUCGGGUUGUAAACCUCUUUCAGCAGGGAAGAAGCGAAAGUGACGGUACCUGCAGAAGAAGCACCGGCUAACUACGUG